rnacentral:lncRNA from 1 species
ACGGAACUGGGCUUCGUAGGUAUUUGUGUGUUGUGGACCUAUCUAUCGUAUAUUUGAAUACUAGCACUAGUAAUACUAUUAUAUUAUAUUGGUUAGAGAUUUUAUAGUUUGGUAAAAUGGAUGGAGAUCAUACGGAGAUUAUGGGGUAUAGACAUAUUAGCUUAGACUUAGUGGGUCAACUCGAGAUAUAUUGGUGGUAAGUAACUAGGAAGAUUCAUAUUCAUUCAUAUUUUGGUUGGGUUGGGUUGGGUGUCAGAGAGAGAGAGAAGGUGAGAAAGGAUGGUAUGCGUAUAAUGUGGUGUGUGCUGUGGGGUGAGAAUAGGAGGUGGGCCAGAGCCAAGUUGAUGGGGUUCACAUGAGGUGUGGAUCGUGAUAUACUUAAAUUCAUCCCCCCUGAAUUUUGCUGCAACUGCUGACUAUGAACAUGGCAUCCUCCUCCUCCU